rnacentral:lncRNA from 1 species
UCCUCCGAAGCGGUUUGCCUUGUGGUACGCUUUGGAGGUGGGAGUUUGGUGCCUUUCUUCUUCGGCGGUUGGUUGCUUCCGGAGCCUGCUCCUCCUUUGGUUUUGGCCAUUGCGAUUUGCAGAGAUCAAAAUACUUAGGAUUUGUGCAGAAGUUUCGGAUUUUGUGGGGUUUUUGGAGGCAAGGUUGGUCUUUAAGAAGGGUGAUCGGUAAUUAUGGGAAUUUAGGGUUUGAGGCGAGUGGUGAUCGUGGUGUAGCAGUUUUUCGGAGGUUAGGGUUUGUGGGGAAGGAGAUCGUGGGUUGAGGCUUUGAAUAUGGUAAGUGUGACGGUUAUGGCAGAAAAAGAAUUUUUAAGGAAAUAAAAACUUGGCCAAAAUUUG